CCAAAGGCUUUAUUCAAAGCUAAACAUUUUGCUUGUAAAAAGAAAU
rfam:Myotis lucifugus cont2.34849, whole genome shotgun sequence.